CAGUAGUCACGUAGUUUGAUCAUGGCUCAGACGAACGCUGGCGGCAUGCCUAACACAUGCAAGUCGAACGAGACCUUCGGGUCUAGUGGCGCACGGGUGCGUAACGCGUGGGAACCUGCCUUUAGGUUCGGAAUAACUCAGAGAAAUUUGAGCUAAUACCGGAUGAUGUCUUCGGACCAAAGAUUUAUCGCCUUUAGAUGGGCCCGCGUAAGAUUAGCUAGUUGGUGGGGUAAAGGCCUACCAAGGCGACGAUCUUUAGCUGGUCUGAGAGGAUGAUCAGCCACACUGGGACUGAGACACGGCCCAGACUCCUACGGGAGGCAGCAGUGGGGAAUAUUGGACAAUGGGCGAAAGCCUGAUCCAGCAAUGCCGCGUGAGUGAUGAAGGCCUUAGGGUUGUAAAGCUCCUUUACCCGAGAUGAUAAUGACAGUAUCGGGAGAAUAAGCUCCGGCUAACUCCGUG
rnacentral:rRNA from 1 species